rnacentral:miRNA from 1 species
GUCUAGUACAACAAGUUUGGGCCU